UACGGGGGGGGCAAGCGUUGUUCGGAAUUACUGGGCGUAAAGAGCUCGUAGGCGGUCUGUUGCGUCGGCUGUGAAAACCCGGGGCUCAACUCCGGGCCUGCAGCCGAUACGGGCAGACUAGAGUUCGGCAGGGGAGACUGGAAUUCCUGGUGUAGCGGUGAAAUGCGCAGAUAUCAGGAGGAACACCGGUGGCGAAGGCGGCUUCCUGGACCGACACUGACGCUGAGGCGCGAAAGCUAGGGGAGCAAACAGG
rnacentral:rRNA from 1 species